CGCGGUCUUCGGUAGUGGCUGCCGGGUGCCAAUCCCGACAGCUUCGAUCGAUGGCCGUA
rfam:Mycobacterium sp. ACS1612 contig_29, whole genome shotgun sequence.